CUUUCGCAUUCACCCUCGAUUUGGUGACCGUAAUCUGAGCAGUUUGGGAUUCAACUCGCAGAGUUGAUGUGGCUGUCAUAAAAUAAACAGCAUGUACCAGAAAUGUUAGAAGGAACCUCAGGAAGUGUAUACCCUCGAUAUAAGAUCCAUUUUAAAAUUAUUUGGUUCUUGUGCUAAUCGUUUUUGCAGACUGAAUUGAUAUGGUACACAAAGGCCAUGGCAGAUAUUUUCUAGAUUGAAACUUUUUGCUUGGAGUCGAAAGAUGUCACAGACACAUCAUCUCUGCCACCUAGUCGGGAAUCAGUAUUGGCCAAGAGACCCAUGUAUCAUCGAACUCAGCAUGGAUGACAUCACAUAAAUUCAAUUCAAGAGUUCAACAACUAAACUUAUCAGCUCCAGGGGAACAACAUACAUAGUGACCUGCUGUUUCAAACACAAAUACGGUUUGGACAAAAACAGGUUAAACAGAAAGGGCCCCAAAAAGACUGCAUGCAAGUCAAAUUCAUAUAUCAAGUUGGCGAAGACAAGAAAACUGUUAAGCUGUAUGAAGCAGGGAAGAUGAGCAGCCAUGGAUUAUACGACAGUAAAACUUGAUAUGAAAAUUGUAUGAUUGUUUGCAUGACGAUUGUCCAUCACGGUUCCGCUAGACGAGGGGAUACUAGAUACCUCAACAAUAUGACAAUUAUUUGAAAUCCAACGAGAUAGAAAUCAGACCCCUGUGAUUUCGAUGAUAAACGGAAAGCAUGGGGGCGAAAUAGUCGAUGGAAAAGGAACACUGUAAAUAAUGAACCGAAACCAAGAAAGUAAAAAAAAAACUAGUGAAAGACCGUUUUUGAUGGGGAAGCUGAAACUGGCUUAUGAUAUUGAGUAAAACUUACAGGGCUUUCUUGGCUUGUGAGGUUGCCAUCAGUUGGCUGGUUAAAGUAUAUCCCAAGCCAGUUCCCUCUGCAGGAAGCAGGGGUCACUCCAGUGGCAAAGGAGGAGAUAUUACUAAGAUUAUAUGUCUUUAGUCAAUAUGCAAUGGUGAUCAGGCACACAAGGGUUGAUCGUAAAAGGUUAGGAUCAGAACCAUCACACAAGAGAUAUGCUUCAUAGCAGAUAUAUACAUCACUUGAUGAAAGUAGAACUGCAGAAUUUCUGAAGCUGAUUGAGCAUGUGGUAGGCAUAUGCAGUAAGGCAGGUGUCUCAAGCCUACAGAGCAACAGAAUGACGAGUGUAACCCGACCUGCAAUAUAUUGGUUGUGACAAGCGAGAGUGAAUAAAAACUUUACAGCCAGCAACCAGGAGUCUGUGGGACGGUGAGUAGGAGUCUAGAAGAUGAGGUGAUGGUGUUUGAGGCCGGUUGUUGAACUUGUAAUGUCAUCUUUUCUGUCACCAAGUUGUUGCUGAUGCAGACUAUGGCUAAAGUGUUUCUUUUUUUGUUGCAAUUAAUGUCAGGCCAUAUUUUUGUUUUGAAAGACACCAAAUGUAUUUGGACAGAAAAAAGCUUGUAAAUUUUGCUCAUUAAACAAUUUAGAGAGUAAUGUGUGUGGUGGCCUUGUCUGUUCUUUUUUAUAUUAACUAGAAAUUAUUGUAAAGUUUUGAUUUUUGUAGGACCCACUUGCAAUGAAUUUGACAUAUUUAUCAAAAUAGCUGUUAGCUGUAUGUGUAUUAGUGUAGUCUUGAAGGUCAAGGUCACUUUUUUUAUGCCCCCGAAGGGAGGCAUAUAGUUUUUGAACCGUCUGUCAGUCUGUCCGCAAUUUUCAUGUCCGGUCCAUAUCUUUGUCAUCCAUGGAUAGAUUUUCAAAUAACUUGGCAUGAAUGUGUACCACAGUAAGACGACGUGUCGCGCUCAAGACCAGGUCCGUAGCUCAAAGGUCAAGGUCACACUUAGACGUUAAAGGUCAUUUUUCAUGAUAGUGCAUUGAUGGGUGUGUCCGGUCCAUAUCUUUGUCAUCCAUGGAUGGAUUUUCAAGUAACUACGCAUAAAUGUAUGGCACAGUAAGACGACUUGUCGCACGCAAGACCCAGGUCUGUAGCUCAAAGGUCAAGGUCACACUUAGACAUUAAAGGUCAUAUUUAAUGAUAGUGCAUUGAUGGGCGUGUCCGGUCCAUAUCUUUGUCAUUCAUGCAUGGAUUUUAAAAUUAUUGGGCAUGAAUGUGUACCACAGUAAGACGACAUGUCGCACGCAAGACCCAGGUCCGUAGCUCAAAAGUCAAGGUCACACUUAGGCGUUAAAGGUCAUAUUUCAUGAUAGUGCAAUGAUGGGCAAGGCCGGUCCAUAUCUUUGUCAUUCAUGCAUGGAUUUUAAAAUAACUACGCUUGAAUGUGUGGCACAGUAAGACGACGUGUCGCGCGCAAGACCCAGGUCCGUAGGUCAAAGGUUCUAAACUCUAACAUCGGCCAUAACUAUUCAUUCAAAGUGCCAUUGGGGGCAUGUGUCAUCCUAUGGAGACAGCUCUUGUUUAGUUCAAGGUCUUGCUAGAUCUUGUCCUAAUGGUAACUUCAUUAUGCAUGGAGCAAGGCAGAAGUAUUUUCCACAAGAUGGCUGCACUAUAAGACAUUUUCCCUAUUUUAAUGGACAUACUCACACCAAAUAGAAUAUCUAGUAUUAUAUUAAAGUUUGAUGAAAGCAAAAAACAGUGAGAGAUGUCGGUAACAAGAUUUAUAUUAGCUGCUGCUUAUGUCUGCUUCUAAUGUCAUUUGCCGCAGUAGCCUAGUGAUAGAGUGUCGGCUUCAAGUGCUGGAGGUCUUGGGUUCGCUCCCUUGCUGGGUCAUAAUUAAGGUAUGAAAAACUGUAGUCAUAGCUUCCUUGUUUGGCACUCGGCAUUAAGAGGAUAGUACUAUAACAUUCGUUUAUACGACUGAAAAAUUGUUGAAAAAGACUCUUAACCCAAAAACUCACACUCAGAUGCUUCUAAUGCUUUUUCCAUUAAAAAUGUUAAAGUUGUAUAUUUGUAUCUGUGAUUUACGGUGUUCCUUUUGGACCAUUAAGAUGUUUUACCUUGAAAGUCGAAGUCACAAAAAUAUGAUGAUGGAUGUCGAAACCACGAUGGUAAUAGUUGAAAUCACUAUGGUGAAAAACUUGAAACUACAAUGGUGAAAGUUGAAAUCACGAAACCAUGAUUACGAUAACAUGAAGCCACUUCAGCAUUGAACUUUCGACUUUCUACUUUCAUCAUCGUAGUUUUGACCUUCAUCAUCAUGCUUUCAACUUUCGAUGUUGAAAGUCAAAACCAUGAUGAUGAAAGUCGUAACUAAGAUGUUGAAAGUCGAAAGCAUGAUGAUGAAACUACGAUGGUGAAAAUGCAAAAUGAUAUUGCAUUUUAGUUUUGACUUUCACCAUAAUAUUUUCGACUUUCAUAAUCAUAGUUUUGUGAUUUUGACUUUCUAGAUAGAGGGUUCGGAAAUAAAAAUAUUGAUGGUCCAAACGGAACAC